rnacentral:rRNA from 1 species
UACGAAGGGUGCAAGCGUUAAUCGGAAUUACUGGGCGUAAAGCGUGCGCAGGCGGUUCGUUGUGUCGGUGGUGAAAGCCCCGGGCUCAACCUGGGAAUGGCCAUGGAAACUGGCGAACUGGAGUGUGGCAGAGGGGGGUGGAAUUCCGCGUGUAGCAGUGAAAUGCGUAGAGAUGCGGAGGAACACCGAUGGCGAAGGCAGCCCCCUGGGCUAGCACUGACGCUCAGGCACGAAAGCGUGGGGAGCAAACAGG